rnacentral:pre_miRNA from 1 species
UUGGCCACCUGGCACUGAGAACUGAAUUCCAUAGGCUGUGAGCUCUAGCGAAUGCCCUAUGGACUCAGUUCUGGUGCCCGGUGGUGCUGC